rnacentral:rRNA from 1 species
UACGGAGGGUGCAAGCGUUAAUCGGAAUUACUGGGCGUAAAGCGUGCGCAGGCGGUUUGUUAAGUCCGUUGUGAAAGCCCCGAGCUCAACUUGGGAAUUGCAGUGGAUACUGGCAGGCUGGAGUACGGUAGAGGAAGGUGGAAUUCCCGGUGUAGCAGUGAAAUGCGUAGAUAUCGAGAGGAACACCAGUGGCGAAGGCGGCCUUCUGGACCAGUACUGACGCUCAUGCACGAAAGCGUGGGGAGCAAACAGG